rnacentral:rRNA from 1 species
CCUACGGGAGGCAGCAGUAGGGAAUCUUGCGCAAUGGGCGAAAGCCUGACGCAGCCAUGCCGCGUGAAUGAUGAAGGUCUUAGGAUUGUAAAAUUCUUUCACCGGGGAAGAUAAUGACGGUACCCGGAGAAGAAGCCCCGGCUAACUUCGUGCCAGCAGCCGCGGUAAUACGAAGGGGGCUAGCGUUGCUCGGAAUUACUGGGCGUAAAGGGCGCGUAGGCGGACAGUUUAGUCAGAGGUGAAAGCCCAGGGCUCAACCUUGGAAUUGCCUUUGAUACUGGCUGUCUUGAGUUCGGGAGAGGUGAGUGGAAUGCCGAGUGUAGAGGUGAAAUUCGUAGAUAUUCGGCGGAACACCAGUGGCGAAGGCGACUCACUGGCCCGAUACUGACGCUGAGGCGCGAAAGCGUGGGGAGCAAACAGGAUUAGAUACCCUGGUAGUC